UCUUGCGCAAUGCGCGAAAGCGUGACGCAGCAACGCCGCGUGGGGGAAGAAGGCCUUCGGGUUGUAAACCUCUUUCAGUUGGGACGAAGGUCAGGCGGUGAAUAGCCGUUCUGACUGACGGUACCUUCAUAAGAAGCCCCGGCUAACUACGUGCCAGCAGCCGCGGUAAUACGUAGGGGGCAAGCGUUGUCCGGAGUUACUGGGCGUAAAGCGUGCGUAGGCGGGAGUGUAAGUGGGUGGUGAAAGCGCUCGGCUAAACCGGGCGAGUGCCAUUCAGACUGCAUUUCUAGAGGCGGAUGGAGGGGUGCGGAAUUCCGGGUGUAGCGGUGAAAUGUGUAGAGAUCCGGAGGAACACCAGUGGUGCAAACGGCGCCCUGGGUCCGAACUGACGCUGAGGCACGAAAGCGUGGGGAGCGAAC
rnacentral:rRNA from 1 species